rnacentral:tRNA from 1 species
GGAAAGAUGGCUUAGUGGUUAAAAUCACUUGCUGCUCUUGAAGAGGACCUGGGUUUAAUUCCCAGUCUCUACA